AUUCAUAAAUGCAUUGCAAUAUAUUUUUUUCCCAAUUCAAUAUUGAUUCCGAAAAUCCUCUGAAUUAAUUCAGGCAAGCAGCGGACCCUACCACCUGCGGAUGCCUCUCGCUCCCCGCCUCUAGCAGCUGGAAGCACCUCGCCCGCGAUAGUGCCAUUGGUGCCAAAAGUCUCAUGUUGUUUCAUUUGCUAUGGUUUUCGAGUGUUUGAAUGUGAAAGUGGAAACGUCUGUUGCUACAGAGUGUAGUGUGGUGUUCACUUUAAUAAUUUGUGUGAACUGGCUUUCGAGAUGGGGUGGCGGCUUGCCAUUAUCAUUACUGCCAGGUGGAGGAGUGGUCCAGGUGGAUACGUAACCUGUGCUCUUGAAAUACUUUGAAGCUGACAUUUGUGAUUCCGUCAUUUACUCCCCCAAAAGGACUUAUUCUCUUUACUCAAUCAAAUGGCUUCAAAACUCAAAGGACUGUGAGCCACUAACUAAUAAUAAUUUACAAACUGACACAUGGGAAGGUUGAGAGCCUCUAACCAGCCGCCAUCUUAUUCACCACACCCAUGUGACUCCUCGAUAAUAUUUUGAUUAUUUGUACAGCCCUAAUAGAUUGUGUGAGUUUUAGUCACGAAUGCACAGUUUUAUGCAUUGGGCUCUGCAGAGUUCAUUGGUCUUAUGUAGGGUUUCCCAACCACAGUCUUUUGUCUAAAACAUUCCGUCCUCCAUUGUGUGUUUGUUGUCAUUAAUAGCAUCAGUGCGUAAUGAGUUAGAGAGUGUGCGCGCCAGAAAAAGUGACGGAGAUGUGAGUGAAGCAGAAGAAAAGGUUAGCAGUAAGUUUUUGGUCUACCAGUUAAAUUAUAUAGUACAGAUAACAACGUGUCAGUUACUAAGUGCUGCAUCUUCUCAAGAACAAAGAAAGUAUUGUCUGUUGUUUCCUAACUGCUAGAAAAGGGGAUAGCCCUGAAGCCUUGGUAACAACCCUGCCUAAAUUGCUGUCUGCAGUGGAAAUGCAAAUAGAUUGAGGUUACAGUUAUGUAAAAUUUAAAGAACUCACCUGAACUGAAACACACUGCUUGGAGGAGGUUUAUCGAGCUUUGUUUAAAUUCUGACAACCUGUCUGUCAGGUAACACAGUUCAGAAACAUUCCUGAGUUUUACUUGAGAACAUGCCAUAUUAUAUAAGUAAGGUGGAGGUGGCAAAAUCCAGUCAUGCUGUCAGUGCCAAAUAAAGUUUCAUAUCAAAUCAUCGGACUUAAAAAAGCUGACAUUAACAGGAAGUGAAGAAAGAGUAGAGAGAGAAAGGGACUUAUAACCGCUACAGUUAAUGCUUUGUGAGGAAUGUUGAAUUUAAUGUCAGAAGAAAUGUUGUACAUCUUAUGAAGUCGUGCAUUUACAGGAGAGUGAGAGAAUGCUUCAUAUUUAAAGAGCAUAAAGUGCUUAUAUCUUUACUUGAUGGAUCCACGGCUUCUUUUAAGUAAACAUAGUUAAGUAUGGAGCACUCUGAGGCUGAGAAACCAAGUAGCUGGCAUGAUCAUUUACCCUCUCUCAAUGGCGUCUGUCAUGCCUGGACGUCUAACCACACACAGGCUGUGCCUCAAUUCAGGGUCUGCAUCCUUCAGAGAAGCAUUUGAAUGCCAAUUAUGUCACAAUGCCACGCGAAGGCCGUCCCAAUUCCCCCUUUUUGGAGGAUGCACCGCUGCGAUUCUUCGUGGCCUCACGUAUCCCAAGAGUCUUUCCGUGCCCAAGAAAGAAAGAAAGACAGAAAGAAAGAAAGAAUGGCGACAGUAAGUGGGGAAGAUCUUGCAUUUAAAUGUAAGUAUUGGGUUUGUACUCGGUUUUUACUCAUUUGAACAUUCAAUGCCAGAUAUAUUAAACUUCAAGAGACCUUAAAACCUCAAAAUGUCUGUUAAAAUAUGUUGGUAAUGCUUAGCUUGAUGCCUUUGGAAAUAAAGCUUUAAGAGCCUUCACUUUCAAAUGUUAGACGUUCAGAGGUUGACUUAUUUCUUAUACUGUUGAGAUGUUAUAGACUAUUUUUACUUCAUGUACAUAAAUGGAUCAAGAAGGGGCUGUGAUCCCUGCUAUAUUUCCAGACUGUAAAACUGCUAGUUAGUCUAGUUAAAUGUUUGAAUUGAAAACGUUUAUGAUUAUCAUUAUUAUGAAUAUAUAUUUGCUGUAUUAGAACCCUUUUGUCUGUUGACAUAACACAAAACAUCUUUUACAUUUCAUUGUGUUUUAGGGGGCAAACAGAGAGGUUCAUCACUGUCCGAGGUCAGGACGAACAUUUGUUCAUAGGGGCGAAACAUUCCACCGCGGUUGGAUGGAAUUAAGAACAGUUCUGGAAAAGAUGGACCUGCAGGGGAAGGUCGAGCCCCAGCAGGCCAAAAACAAGUGGGACCAUUUAAAGAACAAGCACAAAGAUUGCUAAUAUCCAGGGACAGGAGAGGGGGUCAGCGGGAGGCCCAGCGCUUCUACUGGGUGCUUGUUUGUCCUCAUGGAUAAGGUGUUAGGACAGAGGUCUUCCUUUGACCCUCCCUGUCCUAACUGCUUCCAUCCUUGAGGAGACACCAGGGCCAAGUGCCGGCAGGUGACCAGGAGGAGGAAGAUGACAAUGAUGAGGAGGAGGACAGCCAGCCAGGGCCGAGGAGAAAAGAUGAGGGAGGACAUGAGGCUCCAGAGAGAGGAUGGGGAGGCUCU